CGCGCGCCGGACGCCCGGUGACCGGUCGGGUUGGCUCCGGGCUGCGCGGCGAAGAACCAGCCAGGCGGCACGGGUUCCGGAGGCCCACGGGGUGGUGUCGCUUUGCGGCCACUACACACACUACCGGCACCUGCCGUGCGCCAGAUGAAGAAACUGAAGGGUAGAGAAACCAGAGACGUUUAUCCCGGUGCACACACAAGGCUUCACACCCACUUAUGUCUGAUUCCAGAAUGACCUCCACCACUAAGUCACAGCAGUGUAAGAGGUACUUUCUCUCCCAACCUUGAGCAAACUGAGAGGAAUUUCAGCAGCCAGAAAGUCUCCAUAAAUGCUGAUCAUGAAGAGCUGAGACAGAAUGCCACACCACUGCAGGUGGAUACUGGGAACACUGAGGGAGCACGCCCAGGAAGAAGGGAGAAGAGGUCUGCUUCCAAGUCUCUCCCUAAGUGUGUGAAAGGCAUUGAGAAUGAGGGACAUGCCAAAAGAGAAUUCUUUUUUAAUAUAAUUAUUUUUAAUAUAUGUAAUUUUUCUAUCUUAAGAUCAAGGACUCUAUUAUCAUUUGAAAGGCAGGGAGACAGAGACAGAAAAAGACACACACACACACACACAUACUCUCUCUCUCUCUCUCUCUGAACCACCACCUGUUGGUUCACUCCCCAAACACGUGAAAGAGCCAGGGCUGGGCCAGGCUGAAGCUGGGAGCCUAGAACUCAACCUGGGUCUCUCAUGUGUGUGGCAGGGACCCAACUACUUGAACCAUCAUCUGCUGCCUCCCACAGCACACAAUAACAGAAAGCUGGAAUUAGAUAUGGAGCCAGGACUUGAACCUGCAGACAUCCCAGACCAAAUGUUAACGUCUACACCAAAGACUUACCCCCAAAGAAGAUUCUUAAAGUUCCUCUGUGCAUUAAAAAUAAUACCACCAAUGUUCCUGGUGUUUCCACAAAAGCCAGAGUAAAUCUGUGUAAUCAACUGAUGACAAAGCCUGCAUAUCUGCCUUGAACCCUUAACCCCCAGCUUUUCUCACAAGACCUUCCCUGUGGUCCUUGCAGUUCCUUGAAUGCCCCCUUGGACACACUUCAGAGCCCUGAUUUCCUCGUCGUUCAUUUGGCUCCCACCAACGGACAGUUCAACUCCCAGCCUAAGGUCAUUUUUCUGGGAUACAUUUUCCACUCCACUUCCCGGAUCAGCAUAAGCCCCACAUGUUAUAUAAUUUUCCUCCAUAGGUUUUAUCAAUUCUAAUUACAAGUGUAUCAAUAAUUAAAUAUUUCAUCAUUAUAGAAUUCUAGGCUUAUAUGUGUACAUUCUCUAAGGGAAAGGAUUGUGUCCAUUUUAUUCAUCAAUGUCUCAGCAGUACCUAACACAAUGGCUAGCACCUGCUGAAUCCUAAAAAGUUAUUUCAUGAGUGAAUGAAUGAAUGGAAAUGUAUUCAGUUUAAAAUGAAGUCAAAACUUCAAAAAAAUGGGAAGUGCUCUCAUAGAAGCAUUUUACCAUAGAAGAAAGCAUAUUUUUGGAUCAACAGAUCAAAAAGUACUUGACAACCAAAGAGCUAACACACGUUGCUUAGCUGUAGUCAGAACGCCUACAGCUGUGUGCAGAGGAGAGCACCCUUGCACAGGAAAGCAAAGUGUCUUACCCAGUGUUAGUUUCAGUGUUCUUUCUUCCAUAGAGACUCAGGCGAAAUGCAGGACAUCUCCUGCUGGUUUUCCCUUGAAAACUGUGGCCUCCUUGACAGUCGGUUUUCACAUUUCAAUCUCAGGAAGGCCAGAACUUCAGCAUGUUGGGACCAGGUUUCUUAGAGCUAUGCAUGUGGGUAUCGGUGACUGAUUCUCAUAGGCCCUGACGCCUCUUGUUAGGUUAACUCACCAGGUGCUAGAAAUGGCCCAGCUGUUCUUCACGCCCCUGGCCUAGGUUGCCCGUCCCAGCCAGCUGUAUGACAAGCACCUGGGAGGAGCUGUAGGCGGGAUCAUCCAAUCUCCUACACUCAACAAACCAUGUAGAUUCUAUUCCUCUUCUCAUGCUCAUUGCCCCACCUUGGCUUAGAGCUGAGUGAAAACGCUUCUGUAAAUUGCCAAAUAUUUAAGGAGUCAAGAAUAACUAAAAGUAAUAGCGUGCUACUUUAUUUAUUCCCAUUUAGAGAAUGAGAUGAGUAAUUAUGAUCUCUUAAACAU